CCCUGUCCAAUACCCCCUUCUCCGGCAGGUUUUUUUUUUGUCCCUGUCCAAUACCCCCUUCUCCAGCAGGUAUCUUUCAUUAUUUCUCAAGGCACAAUAGCUAUGGAUGACUAGAAUUUCUGUAAUUGUUCUUCUCUUAUUUCUUUUAUUCUUAUAGUUUCCAACUAAUUGCCUUAUAACAGUUGUUUCCAAACAUGGAAAUCCUGAUUUACUUGAUCUUCUAGGCAAACAAACAAACAAACAAACAAAAAAGUCUAGUUCUUGGAUAACUGACUCAUUAACAAUGAACAGUGUCUCAAGUCAGCCCUCUCAACCUCCCAUCUUCACAGCUGUGUCCUUGCUGUUAAGCCAGGCUUAUUGCCCAAAAUAGGAAUUGUCUGUUUGCCAAUAAAUAAAUAACUGUGGUAUUAACAAGUAUGCUAUAAACUCUAAUGCAAUGGUCUAUGAACUGGAGUUUGAGAACCAGUGCUUUAGGUGAAUUUUUAAAAACUUUUCUCAUAGAGACCUUUCCUCACUGAUAUAUAGAAUUUAGCUAGCAGGGUCUUCAUCAGCCAAUGCUGAAUGCAUUAGAGCUUUUAACUUAGAAAAUGGAGGAAAAAUAUUCCAGAAUAAGAUAAUAUAAGAAACCUUUUACUUGGGCCGUCUUGUCAUGAGAAUGCCAUGGUGGUGGGUGUGGGCAUAGCUUGAAGGGGGAUAUAGAAGAAAUUAGAGUCUUACAGAACUGUGGCUUAUAAUUGUGGAAGUUUUCCUCUUUGAGUUCAGCUCUGACUGAGACAUUGCCUAACUCCCAAGGCAUGCUGACUUCCACAUAGUCAAUGACAUUGUGUGGGUGUGUGAUUUUGAAAGCUAGUGUUUUCCUCAGUAUCUACAAAGAUGAUGGCUACUAAAACAGAAAAAGUGACCUAGAAUAAAGAACAUCGCAGAUAGCAUGUAGGGCCAUCAUAGGGGCCCUCUAAAUUUGGAGAUAAAAAUCAGUGACUGAUAAUAAAAAUGGAAAAAUGACAAAGAUAUGAUCUCUGUACAAAAGAAUAAUUUUUAAGUGUAUUGCUUAGGAGACUAGAAUAGUCUGAUGCUAUCUAGGAUUUAUUCUCAGGACCGGGACACAAUGAAGAGGGAAGUACCAAAAUCACUUGUGCUAUAUGAUUAUAUAAGGCUGUGUUAAAUGGAGCAUUGUUCUUACGUGGAGCAUAGGAAAAUUUGAAUCUUGAAGUAUACAAAUAUUUCUCUUUGUCCCUGUCAUAUGCAGGGGUAUGGUUCCUAAAAAGACAGCAUGGUGAGUCCAGUGGCUUCCUUGUCAAUUUUACCCCAUGGUAGAGAUGGGUACAUUAGGCUAUCAGAGCUUAAUAGCUCCAUACAAUAGAAAAUUCCCAGAUAACUCAAUUUUCUCUGAUUCAGGGUCUACCAAAUGACCUACUUAAAGUAAUUGUCAUUCCACUUACAUUUUCUGAUAG
rnacentral:lncRNA from 1 species